AGAGUAACUCCGCCUGUGUUGUUUCAUGGUUUGUAAUGCACACCACAGCCGGUCCCAAGCCCGGACAAAGGAGGAGGGUGUG
rnacentral:ribozyme from 2 species